GAUGAACGCUGGCGGCGUGCCUAAUACAUGCAAGUCGAGCGAAUGGAUUAAGAGCUUGCCCUUAUGAAGUUAGCGGCGGACGGGUGAGUAACACGUGGGUAACCUGCCCAUAAGACUGGGAUAACUCCGGGAAACCGGGGCUAAUACCGGAUAACAUUUUGAACCGCAUGGUUCGAAAUUGAAAGGCGGCUUCGGCUGUCACUUAUGGAUGGACCCGCGUCGCAUUAGCUAGUUGGUGAGGUAACGGCUCACCAAGGCAACGACGCGUAGCCGGCCUGAGAGGGGGAUCGGCCACACAGGACCUGAGACACGGCCCAGACUCCUACGGGAGGCAGCAGUAGUGAAUCUUACGCAAUAGACGAAAGUCUGCCGGAGCAACGCCGCGUGAGUGAUGAAGGCUUUCGGGUCGUAAAACUCUGUUGUUAGGGAAGAACAAGUGCUAGUUGAAUAAGCUGACACCUUGACGGUACCUAACCAGAAAGCCACGGCUAACUACGUGCCAGCCGCCGCAGUAA
rnacentral:rRNA from 1 species